rnacentral:rRNA from 1 species
UGGGGAAUUUUGGACAAUGGGCGAAAGCCUGAUCCAGCCAUUCCGCGUACAGGAUGAAGGCCCUCGGGUUGUAAACUGCUUUUGUACAGAACGAAAAGGCUUCGGAUAAUACCCGAGGCUCAUGACGGUACUGUAAGAAUAAGCACCGGCUAACUACGUGCCAGCAGCCGCGGUAAUACGUAGGGUGCAAGCGUUAAUCGGAAUUACUGGGCGUAAAGCGUGCGCAGGCGGUGAUGUAAGACAGUUGUGAAAUCCCCGGGCUCAACCUGGGAACUGCAUCUGUGACUGCAUCGCUGGAGUGCGGCAGAAGGGGAUGGAAUUCCGCGUGUAGCAGUGAAAUGCGUAGAUAUGCGGAGGAACACCGAUGGCGAAGGCAAUCCCCUGGGCCUGCACUGACGCUCAUGCACGAAAGCGUGGGGAGCAAACAGGAUUA